AUAUCAGAGAUCUGGAAGAUUAUUUUGUAUAUCAGAGAUUUAAAAGUUUAGUUCGUAUAUCAGAGAUUUAGAAAGUUAGUGUGUUUAUCAGAGAUUUAGAAACUUCGUGUGUAUAUCAGAGAUUUAGAAGAUUAGUGUGUAUAUCAGAGAUUUAGAAGGUUGGUGUGUACAUCAGAGAUUAAGAAGGUUAGUGUGUAUGUAAGAGAUUUAGAAGGUUAGUGUGUAUAUAGGAGAUUUAGAAGGUUAAUGUGUAUAUCAGAGAUUCAGAAUAUUAGUGUGUAUAUCAGAAAUUUACAAGGUUAGUGUGUAUAUCAGAGAUUUAGAAGGUUAGUUUGUAUAUCAGAGAUUUAGAAGGUUAAUUUGUAUAUCAGAGAUUUAAAUGGUUAUUUUGUAUAUCAGAGAUUUAGAAGGUUAGUUUGUAUAUCAGAGAUUUAAAUGGUUAUUUUGUAUAUCAGAGAUUUAAAAGGUUAGUGUGUAUAUCAGAGAUUUAGAAGGUUGGUGUGUAUAUCAGAGAUUUAGAGGGUUAGUGUGUAUAUCAGAGAUUCAGAAUAUUAGUGUGUAUAUCAGAAAUUUACAAGGUUAGUGUGUAUAUCAGAGAUUUAAAAGGUUAGUUUGUAUAUCAGAGAUUUAAAUGGUUAUUUUGUAUAUCAGAGAUUUGGAAGGUUAGUUUGUAUAUCAGAGAUUUAGAAGGUUAAUUUGUAUAUCAGAGAUUUAGAAGGUUAGUGUGUAUAUCAGAGAUUUAGAAGGUUAGUUUGUAUAUCAGAGAUUUAGAAUAUUAGUGUGUAUAUCAGAAAUUUACAAGGUUAUUGUGUAUAUCAGCGAUUUAGAAGGUUAGUUUGUAUAUCAGAAAUUUAAAUGGUUAUUUUGUAUAUCAGCGAUUUAGAAGGUUAGUUUGUAUAUCAGAAAUUUAAAUGGUUAUUUUGUAUAUCGGAGAUUUAGAAGGUUAAUUUGUAUAUCAGAGAUUUAAAUGGUUAUUUUGUAUCUCAGAGAUUUAGAAGGUUAGUUUGUAUAUCAGAGAUUUAGAAGGUUAGUUUGUAUAUCAGAGAUUUAAAAGGUCGGUGUGUAUAUCAGAGAUUUAGAAGGUUAGUGUGUAUAUCAGAGAUUUAGAAGGUUAGUGUGUAUAUCAGAGAUUUAGAAGGUUAGUGUGUAUAUGCAAGAUGAAGAUAACGAACAGUGAUCAAUCUCAUAACUCCUACAAGCAUUACAAAAUAGAUAGUUGGGCAAACACGGACCCCUGGACACACCAGAGGUGGGAUCAGGUGCCUAGGAGGAGUAAGCAUCCCCUGUUGACCGGUCACACCCGCCGCGAGCCCCAUAUAUCAGAGAUUUAGAAGGCCACGUAAACAAGGGCGAGCCGAUCUGAUACGGGGUUUUAAACGUACAUGUAUGCAUUUCUGCGGAUGUGAUGUUUUCGUUUUGCGGAAUUGAUUUGAAACUAUUUCCAAAAUUAAUGUACGUGCUGAAUUGCGAACUGAAAUUAUUUGGUUUUUUUUUUAAUUAUCUUUUUUUUCACACAUAUUAACAUAAGACAUGAGAACAGAUGUCAUUUUAACAACUUUCACUCAUAAAUAGAAGUAGUUUCAAAACUUUGCUUGAAAUAGCGAAAUUAUGAUUUUUGAUGUCAGAAAGUGUUUUCCAUUCAUAUCAGGUAUUUUCAAUUUUUUUUUUGUAUUUCUAAAUUCUGAUAAGCAAUACAUUUUGCAACCUUAUAUUUGUUAAAUAGAUAAAACAAUAAUUCCAAUACUCUUGGCAAUUUUGUUUUCAAACAAGAAAAAAGAUAUUGUUUUGUAUAUAGGAAAAGGAAGUUUACGAUUCCGUUGCCUUUAGCCAAUGGGAGUUCACCUAAUAGAAUAUUGAAUACAUUAAACCCUAUUCUUUUGGAAAGUGUGUAAUAAAUGUGCAUGCUCAGAUUGCUCCAUAAUAGAUAUUUUGCACAUCCAUUGAAAAUAUAUUGAAUUGUCUUAACUUAACCAUUACAAAACGUAUAACAAUUAAAAGACACAACAUUGAUUUCUUUUAAAGAUUGACAGACAGAAUUCUAUGAAGUAUUCUGUAUUGGAAACCCUGGAUAGCAGAGUCCUUGGUAGUCUUAAAACAUACAGUAAAACAUCCUUAACACAUAUUUCUAUUCCAUAAGCUACCAGCUCUAAGUUCCACUUUGAAACGGAAGUAGGUUUAUCAUGGUUUACAUUUAACUGUUUGUAAACAAAUAUAACAUAAAAGUACUUUGUACUAGCAUCACAGAGAAACAUGCUCCAAGAAAGAGUGGAAUCUGAGGCACUGCAUAGAAGAAUCAGCUCAUGGAAGGCCUUAGAUGCUGAAGACUGUGUAGUGGAGUUUCCAAGGCUUUCUCCUGAUGAACUCCGCAAUUUGACAGUAGGUAUAUACCAACUGAAACUUGCCAGGAGUUACACUACAGAGCAUCUCAUUGAAGAUGGUGACUACAGCAUCAUGGUGAAUUCUGAAGUUUCUGAUGUCCUACGUGUUCGAAUCCAGAGUCGCCACAUCUCUUCCAAGCAGUACCUACUGUGGAUUCAGUACUCCAGUGGAAGUGUGACAGGCUGAUGCACGAGCUGUUGGGGCAUGUGCGCAUGUGGCCUCAGUACUGUGGUAUCUAGGAUAUGGACGGCACAACGAAUCCAUCACAGGUGUGCAGAACUGGGCAAACUCUCUGGAAUAUGCUGCUGUGAUUCCAGAACCGAUGGAAGAAUCGGAAAGUGAGGACAGUGCCACAGAAGAGUAGUCUGCACAUAUAUAGCGCAAGGUGCUAUUAAAGUAUUUUUAUGUAAGAAAUCUUCAUGCAUGUCCUGGAUGCCACAAUUUGUUACAAUAUUUUUGCUACAAAAGUUAUUCACUGUUUCCAGAAAUCUGUGAUUUUUGUGUAAAAAUGAGGAAUUUAGGCAUAUCUAUUGUUCACAAUUUUUUCCAAUAUAAUACUGUGUAGUGGGUUCUAACAUAUGCUGUUGAUUUUUGUGUUAUUUUUUGUUACCUAUAAAAGUUAUUCAAUGUUUCCAGAAAUCUGUGAUUUUUUGUGCAAAAAUCGCUUGUUUUCCCCCAAAAUGAGGAAUUUAGGCUUAUAUAUUGUUCUCAAUUUUUUCCAGUGUAAAGUUGUGUAGUGGGUUCUAAUAUAUGCAGUUGAUUUUUGUGUUAUUUUUUGUUUGCUAUAAAAGUUAUUCACUGUUUCCAGAAAUUUGUGAUUUUUUGUGUAAAAAUCGCUUGUUUUCCCCCAAAAUGAGGAAUUUAGGCUUAUCUGUUGUUCACAAUUUUUUUCAAUAUAAUACUGUGUAGUGAGUUCUAACAUAUGCUGUUGAUUUUUGUGUUAUGUUUUGUUUGCUAUAAAAGUUAUUCACUGUUUCCAGAAAUCUGUGAUUUUUUGUGCAAAAAUCGUCUGUUUUCCCCCCAAAAUGAGGAAUUUAGGUUUAUCUAUUGUUCACAAUUUUUUCCAAUAUAAUACUGUGUAGUGGGUUUCAACAUAUGCUGUUGAUUUUUGUUUUAUUUUUCGUUACCUAUAAAAGUUAUUCACUGUUUCCAGAAAUCUGUGAUUUUUUGUGCAAAAAUCGCUUGUUUUCCCCCAAAAUGAGGAAUUUAGGCUUAUAUAUUGUUCUUGAUAUUUUUCAAUGUAAAGUUGUGUAGUGGGUUAUAAUAUAUGCAGUUGAUUUUUGUGUUAUGUUUUGUUUGCUAUAAAAGUUAUUCACUGUUUCCAGAAAUCUGUGAUUUUUUGUGCAAAAAUCGCCUGUUUUCCCCCAAAAUGAGGAAUUUAGGUUUAUCUAUUGUUCACAAUUUUUUUCAAUAUAAUACUGUGUAGUGAGUUCUAACAUAUGCUGUUGAUUUUUGUGUUAUGUUUUGUUUGCUAUAAAAGUUAUUCACUGUUUCCAGAAAUCUGUGAUUUUUUGUGCAAAAAUCGUCUGUUUUCCCCCCAAAAUGAGGAAUUUAGGUUUAUCUAUUGUUCACAAUUUUUUCCAAUAUAAUACUGUGUAGUGGGUUUCAACAUAUGCUGUUGAUUUUUGUUUUAUUUUUCGUUACCUAUAAAAGUUAUUCACUGUUUCCAGAAAUCUGUGAUUUUUUGUGCAAAAAUCGCUUGUUUUCCCCCAAAAUGAGGAAUUUAGGCUUAUAUAUUGUUCUUGAUAUUUUUCAUUGUAAAGUUGUGUAGUGGGUUAUAAUAUAUGCAGUUGAUUUUUGUGUUAUGUUUUGUUUGCUAUAAAAGUUAUUCACUGUUUCCAGAAAUCUGUGAUUUUUUGUGCAAAAAUCGCCUGUUUUCCCCCAAAAUGAGGAAUUUAGGUUUAUCUAUUGUUCACAAUUUUUUUCAAUAUAAUACUGUGGAGUGGGUUCUAACAUAUGCUGUUGAUUUUCGUGUUAUUUUUUGUUUGCUAUAAAAGUUAUUCACUGUUUCCAGAAAUCUGUGAUUUUUUGUGCAAAAAUUGCUUGCUUUCCCCCAAAAUGAGGAAUUCAGGCAUAUUUAUUGUUCAUAAUUGUUUUCAGUGUAAUCCUGUAUAAUGAAUUCUAAUAUGUGGAAAUGUUUGUUUUGUUAUUUCUUGUUUGAUAUAAAAGUUAUUUAUUGUU